rnacentral:rRNA from 1 species
GUGUCAGCCGCCGCGGUAAUACGGGGGGGGCGAGCGUUGUUCGGAAUUACUGGGCGUAAAGGGUGCGUAGGCGGUGCUCUAAGUCGGAUGUGAAAACUCUGGGCUCAACCCAGAGCCUGCAUCCGAAACUGGAGUGCUAGAGUUCUGGAGGGGGUAGCGGAAUUCCUGGUGUAGCGGUGAAAUGCGUAGAUAUCAGGAGGAACACCGGUGGCGAAGGCGGCUACCUGGACAGAAACUGACGCUGAGGCACGAAAGCUAGGGGAGCAAACAGGAUUAGAAACCCCCGUAGUCC